CCUACGGGUGGCAGCAGUGGGGAAUAUUGGACAAUGGGCGAAAGCCUGAUCCAGCCAUGCCGCGUGUGUGAAGAAGGCCUUCGGGUUGUAAAGCACUUUCAGUGGGGAAGAAAGCCUUGGGGCUAAUACCCUCGAGGAAGGACAUCACCCACAGAAGAAGCACCGGCUAACUCUGUGCCAGCAGCCGCGGUAAUACGGAGGGUGCGAGCGUUAAUCGGAAUUACUGGGCGUAAAGCGCGCGUAGGCGGUCUGAUAAGCCGGUUGUGAAAGCCCCGGGCUCAACCUGGGAACGGCAUCCGGAACUGUCAGGCUAGAGUGCAGGAGAGGAAGGUAGAAUUCCCGGUGUAGCGGUGAAAUGCGUAGAGAUCGGGAGGAAUACCAGUGGCGAAGGCGGCCUUCUGGACUGACACUGACGCUGAGGUGCGAAAGCGUGGGUAGCAAACAGGAUUAGAUACCCGUGUAGUC
rnacentral:rRNA from 1 species